UACAGAGGUCUCGAGCGUUGUUCGGAUUCAUUGGGCGUAAAGGGUGCGUAGGUGGCGAUGUAAGUCUGGUGUGAAAUCUCUGAGCUCAACUCGGAAAUUGCAUUGGAUACUGCGUUGCUUGAGGAUUGUAGAGGAGAGUGGAAUUCACGGUGUAGCAGUGAAAUGCGUAGAUAUCGUGAGGAAGACCAGUUGCGAAGGCGACUCUCUGGGCAAUUCCUGACACUGAGGCACGAAGGCCAGGGGAGCAAACGGG
rnacentral:rRNA from 1 species